CAUAGGUUAAUGAGGCGAACCGGGGGAACUGAAACAUCUAAGUACCCCGAGGAAAAGAAAUCAACCGAGAUUCCCCCAGUAGCGGCGAGCGAACGGGGAGCAGCCCAGAGCCUGAAUCAGUGUGUGUGUUAGUGGAAGCGUCUGGAAAGGCGCGCGAUACAGGGUGACAGCCCCGUACACAAAAAUGCACAUACUGUGAGCUCGAUGAGUAGGGCGGGACACGUGGUAUCCUGUCUGAAUAUGGGGGGACCAUCCUCCAAGGCUAAAUACUCCUGACUGACCGAUAGUGAACCAGUACCGUGAGGGAAAGGCGAAAAGAACCCCGGCGAGGGGAGUGAAAAAGAACCUGAAACCGUGUACGUACAAGCAGUGGGAGCACGCUUAGGCGUGUGACUGCGUACCUUUUGUAUAAUGGGUCAGCGACUUAUAUUCUGUAGCAAGGUUAACCGAAUAGGGGAGCCGAAGGGAAACCGAGUCUUAACUGGGCGUUAAGUUGCAGGGUAUAGACCCGAAACCCGGUGAUCUAGCCAUGGGCAGGUUGAAGGUUGGGUAACACUAACUGGAGGACCGAACCGACUAAUGUUGAAAAAUUAGCGGAUGACUUGUGGCUGGGGGUGAAAGGCCAAUCAAACCGGGAGAUAGCUGGUUCUCCCCGAAAGCUAUUUAGGUAGCGCCUCGUGAAUUCAUCUCCGGGGGUAGAGCACUGUUUCGGCAAGGGGGUCAUCCCGACUUACCAACCCGAUGCAAACUGCGAAUACCGGAGAAUGUUAUCACGGGAGACACACGGCGGGUGCUAACGUCCGUCGUGAAGAGGGAAACAACCCAGACCGCCAGCUAAGGUCCCAAAGUCAUGGUUAAGUGGGAAACGAUGUGGGAAGGCCCAGACAGCCAGGAUGUUGGCUUAGAAGCAGCCAUCAUUUAAAGAAAGCGUAAUAGCUCACUGGUCGAGUCGGCCUGCGCGGAAGAUGUAACGGGGCUAAACCAUGCACCGAAGCUGCGGCAGCGACGCUGAUGCGUUGUUGGGUAGGGGAGCGUUCUGUAAGCCUGUGAAGGUGUGCUGUGAGGCAUGCUGGAGGUAUCAGAAGUGCGAAUGCUGACAUAAGUAACGAUAAAGCGGGUGAAAAGCCCGCUCGCCGGAAGACCAAGGGUUCCUGUCCAACGUUAAUCGGGGCAGGGUGAGUCGACCCCUAAGGCGAGGCCGAAAGGCGUAGUCGAUGGGAAACAGGUUAAUAUUCCUGUACUUGGUGUUACUGCGAAGGGGGGACGGAGAAGGCUAUGUUGGCCGGGCGACGGUUGUCCCGGUUUAAGCGUGUAGGCUGGUUUUCCAGGCAAAUCCGGAAAACUAAGGCUGAGGCGUGAUGACGAGGCACUACGGUGCUGAAGCAACAAAUGCCCUGCUUCCAGGAAAAGCCUCUAAGCAUCAGGUAACAUCAAAUCGUACCCCAAACCGACACAGGUGGUCAGGUAGAGAAUACCAAGGCGCUUGAGAGAACUCGGGUGAAGGAACUAGGCAAAAUGGUGCCGUAACUUCGGGAGAAGGCACGCUGAUAUGUAGGUGAAGCGACUUGCUCGUGGAGCUGAAAUCAGUCGAAGAUACCAGCUGGCUGCAACUGUUUAUUAAAAACACAGCACUGUGCAAACACGAAAGUGGACGUAUACGGUGUGACGCCUGCCCGGUGCCGGAAGGUUAAUUGAUGGGGUCAGCGCAAGCGAAGCUCUUGAUCGAAGCCCCGGUAAACGGCGGCCGUAACUAUAACGGUCCUAAGGUAGCGAAAUUCCUUGUCGGGUAAGUUCCGACCUGCACGAAUGGCGUAAUGAUGGCCAGGCUGUCUCCACCCGAGACUCAGUGAAAUUGAACUCGCUGUGAAGAUGCAGUGUACCCGCGGCAAGACGGAAAGACCCCGUGAACCUUUACUAUAGCUUGACACUGAACAUUGAGCCUUGAUGUGUAGGAUAGGUGGGAGGCUUUGAAGUGUGGACGCCAGUCUGCAUGGAGCCGACCUUGAAAUACCACCCUUUAAUGUUUGAUGUUCUAACGUUGACCCGUGAUCCGGGUUGCGGACAGUGUCUGGUGGGUAGUUUGACUGGGGCGGUCUCCUCCUAAAGAGUAACGGAGGAGCACGAAGGUUGGCUAAUCCUGGUCGGACAUCAGGAGGUUAGUGCAAUGGCAUAAGCCAGCUUGACUGCGAGCGUGACGGCGCGAGCAGGUGCGAAAGCAGGUCAUAGUGAUCCGGUGGUUCUGAAUGGAAGGGCCAUCGCUCAACGGAUAAAAGGUACUCCGGGGAUAACAGGCUGAUACCGCCCAAGAGUUCAUAUCGACGGCGGUGUUUGGCACCUCGAUGUCGGCUCAUCACAUCCUGGGGCUGAAGUAGGUCCCAAGGGUAUGGCUGUUCGCCAUUUAAAGUGGUACGCGAGCUGGGUUUAGAACGUCGUGAGACAGUUCGGUCCCUAUCUGCCGUGGGCGCUGGAGAACUGAGGGGGGCUGCUCCUAGUACGAGAGGACCGGAGUGGACGCAUCACUGGUGUUCGGGUUGUCAUGCCAAUGGCACUGCCCGGUAGCUAAAUGCGGAAGAGAUAAGUGCUGAAAGCA
rnacentral:rRNA from 1 species